AGUCGAGCGGACAGAUGGGAGCUUGCUCCCUGAUGUUAGCGGCGGACGGGUGAGUAACACGUGGGUAACCUGCCUGUAAGACUGGGAUAACUCCGGGAAACCGGGGCUAAUACCGGAUGCUUGUUUGAACCGCAUGGUUCAAACAUAAAAGGUGGCUUCGGCUACCACUUACAGAUGGACCCGCGGCGCAUUAGCUAGUUGGUGAGGUAAUGGCUCACCAAGGCAACGAUGCGUAGCCGACCUGAGAGGGUGAUCGGCCACACUGGGACUGAGACACGGCCCAGACUCCUACGGGAGGCAGCAGUAGGGAAUCUUCCGCAAUGGACGAAAGUCUGACGGAGCAACGCCGCGUGAGUGAUGAAGGUUUUCGGAUCGUAAAGCUCUGUUGUUAGGGAAGAACAAGUACCGUUCGAAUAGGGCGGUACCUUGACGGUACCUAACCAGAAAGCCACGGCUAACUACGUGCCAGCAGCCGCGGUAAUACGUAGGUGGCAAGCGUUGUCCGGAAUUAUUGGGCGUAAAGGGCUCGCAGGCGGUUUCUUAAGUCUGAUGUGAAAGCCCCCGGCUCAACCGGGGAGGGUCAUUGGAAACUGGGGAACUUGAGUGCAGAAGAGGAGAGUGGAAUUCCACGUGUAGCGGUGAAAUGCGUAGAGAUGUGGAGGAACACCAGUGGCGAAGGCGACUCUCUGGUCUGUAACUGACGCUGAGGAGCGAAAGCGUGGGGAGCGAACAGGAUUAGAUACCCUGGUAGUCCACGCCGUAAACGAUGAGUGCUAAGUGUUAGGGGGUUUCCGCCCCUUAGUGCUGCAGCUAACGCAUUAAGCACUCCGCCUGGGGAGUACGGUCGCAAGACUGAAACUCAAAGGAAUUGACGGGG
rnacentral:rRNA from 1 species